rnacentral:rRNA from 1 species
UACGUAGGGCGCAAGCGUUGUCCGGAAUUAUUGGGCGUAAAGAGCUCGUAGGCGGCCAGUUGCGUCUGCUGUGAAAUCCCGGGGCUCAACCCCGGGCGUGCAGUGGAUACGGGCAGACUGGAGUACUGCAGGGGAGACUGGAAUUCCUGGUGUAGCGGUGGAAUGCGCAGAUAUCAGGAGGAACACCGGUGGCGAAGGCGGGUCUCUGGGCAGUAACUGACGCUGAGGAGCGAAAGCGUGGGGAGCGAACAGG